AGCUGCUUGGUGCCUGUUCUGACUCCUAACUGGUUAGUUCCUGUUAUGCUUUUCCACAGCUCUCUCUUUCUUACUCCUGUGUCUCACACAUGUGAUUGAAAAAGGUUCAUCCAGCGCUUCUUCUGAAUGGCACGUGGACUGUGUAGUAGCUGAAAUGAAUGCUGAAGAGUUGAAAUAGACUGGCCAUGAUGAGGUCCUUGGCUGAGACCAAACAAGACAAGAAGUGUCCUGAUCUUCAUCCACUGAAGUCAUUACUGUUUAGACAAGAGAUGGACAAUGGCCCUUUUUACUGUAGGAUUCUUUUGAGCUCACUUUGAGAGCUGAAUUAGUGAAGAUAAAUAUUGCUUGGAAAGCAAAACAUGAAGGUGGAUACACAUUAUCUGACUAAGCACCUUUGGGGAUCUGAUGAUGGGCCCUGGGACCACCAGAGCCCUGAGUUGGAGGACCGUGACUGUAGUAAUGAUAAUCUCCCAGCCAGGUCUGAGACUGCGUGGAAUUUGCUGCCCCAGCUGGAUGCAUGUUUCCUAUGAAGGAGAUUUACUAAAACGUGAUGGCCAGUGUUGCUGUUUCUUCUGCUCUUGCCAGGGGCCAGAAUGCUUCUGGUUUGCUUAUAUUGAAAGAAAGUCCCUGACUGUGAAAGCUAUAAUGAUACUAUGAAAUGUCUGGACCUUCCACUUUACAGGGGAAAUAUUGUGCUGCAACACAUCUCCAGAUGUUGAAUUCGUUCUAUCAGAAUGUGUGCUGGGCUAUCUUAUGUUGAAAUCUGAGAGGGAGGAAAUCCUCCAGUUCUUUGUUAUGUUGUUAUCAAGACAGGGCUGGAAGAA